AUACGGAGGAUGCGAGCGUUAUCCGGAUUUAUUGGGUUUAAAGGGUGCGUAGGCUGUGCGUUAAGUCAGGGGUGAAAUGCCGUCGCUCAACGACGGAGCUGCCCUUGAUACUGGCGUGCUGGAGUACGGAUGCCGUUGGAGGAAUGAGUGGUGUAGCGGUGCAAUGCUUAGAUAUCACUAAGAACACCGAUUGCGAAGGCAUCUGACGAAUCCGUCACUGACGCUGAGGCACGAAAGCGUGGGGAUAGAACAGGAUUAGAUACCCUGGUAUUCCACGCCGUAAACGAUGAUGACUAACCGUCGGCGAUAGACAGCCGGUGGCCAAGCGAAAGCGAUAAGUCAUCCACCUGGGGAGUACGGCGGCAACGAUGAAACUCAAAGGAAUGGACGGGG
rnacentral:rRNA from 1 species